rnacentral:misc_RNA from 1 species
UUCCUUUUCCCAUACCUGACACCUGUUCAUAAUGUGCAAACAGCUGAGCAGGUGAACAAUUUGUACCAACCGACAAAGUUCUAAGUAAUAAUGAUUAUGUUCAUAUAGAAGUAACUCUUACUCUUUAGGAUUAUGCAUUCUGUGUUAUAAUCAUUGUACAACUCAAAACUAUAUCAAUUCAGUGAUCCCAUAAGGAAUUAACAGGAAUCACUUUUCACACGAGGAUAAGUUUUAUGCUGCCUCCGAAUCAUUUAUUUGUGAAUUUAAAAAGAGUGUGUUAACGGAAGAUAAGUUGAUAGUUUUAACUUAGGAGACUCGCACAAUAUCCACAGAUUUGUGCUUCCUGUAUGUUUGGCACCAAUAAUCAGAUAAGCAAGUUAACUAGCGUCUUUAUUUCUUUAUUCUUUCUUUGCUUUUUUGGUUGUGGACAGGUUAGAAUGAUUGAUUUCCAACAGCAAAGAGUUAAGGCCAGCAAGAUGACUUCAAAGAAGGAAGGGGGUGGAUGAAGGAAUAUUGAAAGGAUGAAGGAAUAUUGAAAAAGAAAACAAGAAAAAUUGGAAAAUUUUCAGUUACAAAACUACAGCACCUUUUUUAUGUUUGCAAAAUUGCUCCCUGGUAAAGGUCCAAAGAAAUCUCAUAACACCAUAUUAGUUGAAUUCUUGGGGAUGCAGCAAUAAAACAAGUGGAAAUAGGCAUUUGAAGUCCAGCCCCUUAACGUAAAAAUAUGAUUAGUAAUUUCGAAGUGGUUUAUUAAUUAUUUGGAUGAAUGGGCCUUUUAAUUGUCUUGGCGUCUUCUUAGUCUACUCUUCAUCCAGGCUUUUACAUUGUAAAUUUUUUCUAUUUCUUACACUACAGCAAAGAGUACAGUCACUGUCUGAAUGUUUCCGCUACAUUCAGCAAGGUCUGAUUGAUAGAAAAAUUCAAGAUGCAUUCAGAUACUGG